rnacentral:rRNA from 1 species
UUGAAAUACCACCCUUUAAUGUUUGAUGUUCUAACGUGGACCCGUAAUCCGGGUUGCGGACAGUGUCUGGUGGGUAGUUUGACUGGGGCGGUCUCCUCCUAAAGAGUAACGGAGGAGCACGAAGGUUGGCUAAUCCUGGUCGGACAUCAGGAGGUUAGUGCAAUGGCAUAAGCCAGCUUGACUGCGAGCGUGACGGCGCGAGCAGGUGCGAAAGCAGGUCAUAGUGAUCCGGUGGUUCUGAAUGGAAGGGCCAUCGCUCAACGGAUAAAAGGUACUCCGGGGAUAACAGGCUGAUACCGCCCAAGAGUUCAUAUCGACGGCGGUGUUUGGCACCUCGAUGUCGGCUCAUCACAUCCUGGGGCUGAAGUAGGUCCCAAGGGUAUGGCUGUUCGCCAUUUAAAGUGGUACGCGAGCUGGGUUUAGAACGUCGUGAGACAGUUCGGUCCCUAUCUGCCGUGGGCGCUGGAGAACUGAGGGGGGCUGCUCCUAGUACGAGAGGACCGGAGUGGACGCAUCACUGGUGUUCGGGUUGUCAUGCCAAUGGCACUGCCCGGUAGCUAAAUGCGGAAGAGAUAAGUGCUGAAAGCAUCUAAGCACGAAACUUGCCCCGAGAUGAGUUCUCCCUGAGACUUUAGGUCUCCUGAAGG